rnacentral:rRNA from 1 species
UGACCUAAACCCUCACCAGAGUAACAAUUGGAGGGCAAGUCUGGUGCCAGCAGCCGCGGUAAUUCCAGCUCCAAUAGCGUAUAUUAAACUUGUUGCAGUUAAAAAGCUCGUAGUUGAAUUUUUGCGUGGUGUUAAUAUUGACUGAUGUCGAGAUUGCACUUCGCUUUUGGGAUUUAUCCCUUUUUACUUUGAGAAAAUUAGAGUGUUUCAAGCAGACUUUUGUCUUGAAUACUUCAGCAUGGAAUAAUAGAGUAGGACUUUGGUUCUAUUUUGUUGGUUUGUGAACCUUAGUAAUGGUUAAUAGGAACGGUUGGGGGCAUUCGUAUUUAACUGUCAGAGGUGAAAUUCUUAGAUUUGUUAAAGACGAACUACUGCGAAAGCAUUUGCCAAGGACGUUUUCAUUAAUCAAGAACGAAAGUUAGGGGAUCGAAGACGAUCAGAUACCGUCGUAGUCCUAACCAUAAACUAUGCCGACUAGGGAUUGGAGGUCGUCAUUUUUCCGACUCCUUCAGCACCUU